rnacentral:rRNA from 1 species
AUAUCAAUAAGCGGAGGAAAAGAAACUAACAAGGAUUCCCCUAGUAACGGCGAGUGAAGCGGGAACAGCUCAAAUUUGAAACCUGGCGUCCUUCGGGCGUCCGGAUUGUAUUCUAGAGAAGCGUCUUCCGCGCUGGACCGUGCACAAGUCUCCUGGAACGGAGCGUCGUAGAGGGUGAGAAUCCCGUCUUUGGCAUGGACACACCAGGGCUUUUGCGAUGCGCUCUCGAAGAGUCGAGUUGUUUGGGAAUGCAGCUCAAAAUGGGUGGUGAACUCCAUCUAAAGCUAAAUAUUGGCGAGAGACCGAUAGCGAACAAGUACCGUGAGGGAAAGAUGAAAAGCACUUUGGAAAGAGAGUGAAACAGUACGUGAAAUUGUUGAAAGGGAAACGCUUGAAGUCAGUCGCGUCGUCCGAGACUCAGCCUCGCCUCGGCUUGGCGUACUUCUCGGCCCGACGGGUCAGCAUCAAUUUCGCCUCUCGGAUAAUGGCGAGGGAAAAGUGACACCUUUACGGUGUGUUAUAGUCCCUCGUCGCAUGCGAGGGUCGGGAUUGAGGAACUCAGCACGCGCCCUCGGGCGUCGGGGUUUUCGCCCACGAUACGUGCUUAGGAUGUUGGCGUAAUGGCUUUAAACGA